UACGUAGGGGGCGAGCGUUGUCCGGAUUUAUUGGGCGUAAAGAGCGUGUAGGCGGCCAGGUAGGUCUGCUGUGAAAACUCGAGGCUCAACCUCGAGACGUCGGUUGAAACCGUUUGGCUAGAGUCCGGAAGAGGAGAGUGGAAUUCCCGGUGUAGCGGUGAAAUGCGCAGAUAUCGGGAGGAAUACCCGUGGCGAAGGCGGUCCACUGGGCAUCAACUGACGCUGAGGCGCGAAAGCGUGGGUAGCAAACAGG
rnacentral:rRNA from 1 species